rnacentral:rRNA from 1 species
AGCGAACGCUGGCGGCAGGCCUAACACAUGCAAGUCGAACGAACUCUUCGGAGUUAGUGGCGGACGGGUGAGUAACACGUGGGAACGUGCCCUUAGGUUCGGAAUAACUCAGGGAAACUUGUGCUAAUACCGAAUGUGCCCUUCGGGGGAAAGAUUUAUCGCCUUUAGAGCGGCCCGCGUCUGAUUAGCUAGUUGGUUGAGGUAACGGCUCACCAAGGCGACGAUCAGUAGCUGGUCUGAGAGGAUGACCAGCCACAUUGGGACUGAGACACGGCCCAAACUCCUACGGGAGGCAGCAGUGGGGAAUCUUGCGCAAUGGGCGAAAGCCUGACGCAGCCAUGCCGCGUGAAUGAUGAAGGUCUUAGGAUUGUAAAAUUCUUUCACCGGGGACGAUAAUGACGGUACCCUGAGAAGAAGCCCCGGCUAACUUCGUGCCAGCAGCCGCAGUAAAAC